UUUUUUUUUAACUAACGAAUUUGGACAUUCCUAUGGUAUCUGCAUCCAUAAUGUUACACAGAAGGAAUGUCUAUACCAGGUCAGGAAUAUGAUAGUUGUUUUCUAUUCUAUGAUAGUUGUUUUCUGUUCGUUAGAUGUGAGCUUUUCACUUUACGAAGUUAUAAUCGUUUUGAAUUACCUUGGAGUCUGGUAAUAUUGAUAUUUUACUUUUUUCGCCCUUUUUGUAAAGCUGUAUAAUCUCUUGAACAUAAAUGUGUUCGAUUACAAUUUAAUUUUGUCGACAGGUUGUUAGUAUUUCUGCUGCCACUAAUUACAUCACUCUAAUAGCAGGCUUGCCCCUGUGUUGUAUUGAAACACAUCAUGUUUAUCGUACACUUU
rnacentral:lncRNA from 1 species